GCCAUGGAUGGGUGGAAUCGCUCCCUCCCUGGGCACAUCCUCCACAGCACCACUUCUGUCCCUGUGCAGGAUCAGGCUCUCUCUGAAGAAUUCAGCUGUUGGCACUUUCCAGGUACAUUUUGUGCAGUCCAUAAUGAACUACUUGUCUUCCAGUGUCCUCCUCCCACGUCUCAAUGCCCGCUUAGAUGAGGGUUUCCCUCUGCCACUUCUGGACAGGAUUCAGCUCUCCAAUAUCCUUGUGAGGUUCCACCAGAAUUUCCUGCUGCUUGGAGCAGACGUUCGCUUCCAGCCCCGGGGAUGAAGAUGAGGCAAUGAGAGCCCUUCAGCACUAAAUCUGCUCCAUUCACCACUUUGCCCUUCCCUGCCUGAGCCGAAGACCACCAGUCCUGCCACUGUCCUGCACUGCUGCCUUGGCCUGCACCCUCCAUCCUCCUGCUGGGGCCUCACCUGGUGCUACCAUGAGCUGGGGGUCCCGUGCCCUGGGCCACCCCCUCCCCUCCUCCCUCUGAGCAGCAAUAAAGGCGCUGGUGCUGGGGCUCUGCUCUUGGUG
rnacentral:lncRNA from 1 species